UACGGAGGGUGCAAGCGUUGUCCGGAUUUAUUGGGUUUAAAGGGCGCGUAGGCGGUCUUUUAAGUCAGUGGUGAAAUCCUCCAGCUUAACUGGAGAACUGCCAUUGAUACUGGGAGACUUGAGUACAGACGAGGUAGGCGGAAUUGACAGUGUAGCGGUGAAAUGCAUAGAUAUUGUCAAGAACACCGAUUGCGAAGGCAGCUUACUAGACUGUAACUGACGCUGAGGCACGAAAGUGUGGGGAUCAAACAGG
rnacentral:rRNA from 1 species